rnacentral:lncRNA from 1 species
UAAAAGGGCCUUUAUGGUUUGUGAAAGAAUAUCUGUGUGCUUAGGGAGGAAACUUUUUGAUCUGCAGAAAAGCCAGAAGACAUCUAGGACAUCCAUAAAAAUUCAUCAGAGAGCAUUUUACUACUGAGCUGCAAAGGGAAAAACUUAAAAUGGAUAUGAAAAGUGAAGAAAGUGAUCAUAGGAGAAAACCAUUUCAGAUAUCUGUGGAUAUCUCUCCAGAACUUCAUGUAUAUGUAAGUGACUUGCUCCCAAUUCUUUCACAUUUUAUCAAUAUCAGCUGUGUUUUGCUUAAAAAAUGAGCCUUACCUAACUAAAAUUUCUACUGUAAUAAAGCAAGUUAAUUGUAGUGAAAUCUAAUUAUCUGUUUACUAUGAUUUCAUUAUAAAUCUUGUGGGUUUUUUUUUCUUACAUUGUCCUUAUGUAUUAGCACCUGUGGUAAGAUAUAUUGAUCACAGUUUCAUCAGAUAGGCAUACUGCUUCAAUAUUGUUUGAAAAAAAUCUUUAUCUUUCAGCUUCAUAUUCUAGGAGGAACCAAAUGUAACAUUUACUUUUCAUUUUGAUUGCAUAUUAACUUGAGGUCAUAAUCUUGCUUUAACAAUCCAUCUCUUCUAAUUAUAGAUAUAGGAGGUAUGGAAGUAUGUGUUUGCCACAGAACAAACCCUGGAUAUAUUUCCAUCUUGCUUAUAAAACUUGUCUUUAUGUAAAUGUUUAAAUAAGAUAUUUUAGGAUAAAUGGUUUUUAUCAUUGCCUAUUAUGUCAUUUUCUAUUAAAAGUGAAUUUUAUACUUAAUUGACUCUGAUUCUUAAGGCAUUAAAUUCUAGUCCAUUCUUCUUAUGAGAUAGGGUUAGUAAAAUAAGUUAGUUUUAUGGGAUCAAAAGCUACAAACAGGCUGGGCAUGCUGGCUCAUACCUGUAAUGCCUGCACUUUGGGAGACUAAGGCAGGAGGAUCGCUUGAGGCUAGAAGUUUGAGACCAGCCAGUGCAAUAUAGCAAGACCCCUGUCUCUAUAAAGAAAAAAAAUCAAGUAAAAAUAUCUAGAAAUAUACUUUCCCCAAAA